UACGAAGGGGGCUAGCGUUGCUCGGAAUUACUGGGCGUAAAGCGCACGUAGGCGGUCUUUUAAGACCGAUGUGAAAUCCCCGGGCUUAACCUGGGAACUGCAUUGGUGACUGGCAGGCUUUGAGUGUGGCAGAGGGAGGUAGAAUUCCACGUGUAGCAGUGAAAUGCGUAGAGAUGUGGAGGAAUACCGAUGGCGAAGGCAGCCUCCUGGGCCAACACUGACGCUCAUGCACGAAAGCGUGGGGAGCAAACAGG
rnacentral:rRNA from 1 species